rnacentral:rRNA from 1 species
GAUGAACGCUGGCGGCGUGCUUAACACAUGCAAGUCGAGCGGAGAUAAAAUGAAAGCUUGCUUUUAAUUUAUCUUAGCGGCGGACGGGUGAGUAACGUGUGGGCAACCUGCCUCAUACAGAGGGAUAAUCAUGUGAAAACGUGACUAAUACCGCAUGUCGUUUCGGGAGGGCAUCCUCCUGAAAGAAAAGGAGCAAUCCGGUAUGAGAUGGGCCCGCAUCUGAUUAGCUAGUUGGUGAGAUAACAGCCCACCAAGGCGACGAUCAGUAGCCGACCUGAGAGGGUGAUCGGCCACAUUGGGACUGAGACACGGCCCAAACUCCUACGGGAGGCAGCAGUGGGGAAUAUUGCACAAUGGGGGAAACCCUGAUGCAGCAACGCCGCGUGAAGGAAGACGGUUUUCGGAUUGUAAACUUCUAUCAAUAGGGACGAAGAAAGUGACUGUACCUAAAUAAGAAGCCCCGGCUAACUACGUGCCAGCAGCCGCGGUAAUACGUAGGGGGCAAGCGUUAUCCGGAAUUACUGGGUGUAAAGGGUGAGUAGGCGGCAUGGCAAGUAAGAUGUGAAAGCCCGAGGCUUAACCUCGGGAUUGCAUUUUAAACUGCUAAGCUAGAGUACAGGAGAGGAAAGCGGAAUUCCUAGUGUAGCGGUGAAAUGCGUAGAUAUUAGGAAGAACACCAGUGGCGAAGGCGGCUUUCUGGACUGGAAACUGACGCUGAGGCACGAAAGCGUGGGGAGCGAACAGG